GAGGGAGUCCCUCCCUCUAAAAGCACUCUGUGUGGGGAACAUGAGAGCCAGACCAAAGCUCAGAGGAACCAACGAGGAAGAAAACGCAAACAUGAGCACGAACCCAGCUGUGUGUCCUUACAGAGUGACGUGUCUAAAGAAGAGCCCAUUAACUUUAAAUCCCAGCCUGUGUCUGCUGCAGAGAGAGGUCAGAGGUCACAGUCUGCAGGAUCCAGCUGUCUGUCUGUGAGGAGUGACCGGUCCAA